CAAAAAAAAAUUGAAAC
rnacentral:sRNA from 1 species